AUGGCGACAAUGGCGGUUAAGGCAUGGGUGGUGGCAAUGAUGCUGGUUGUGCACUGCUUCGACGUAGGGCUCGGAGCUGGAGGCGAUGGCCUGUGCCUGGGCUCGCCCGACUACGGCGACGCGCUGGCCAAGGCCAUCCUCUUCUUCGAGGGGCAGCGGUCGGGCCGGCUGCCGGCUAACCAGAGAGCCAGGUGGCGCAGCAACUCCGCGCUCGCCGACGGCCGACCUGAAAACGUUAACCUGACGGGUGGGUACUACGACGCCGGCGACAACGUCAAGUUCGGGUUCCCGAUGGCCUUCACGGUGACCCUGCUGAGCUGGAGCGCCAUCGAGUACCGCGGCGACGUCGCGGCGGCGGGGCAGCUGGGCAACCUCCGGGCCGCGAUCCACUGGGGCGUCGAUUUCCUGCUCCGCGCACACACAUCUCCCACCACCCUCUAUACCCAGGUGGGGGACGGGAACGCCGACCACGGGUGCUGGGAGCGGCCGGAGGACAUGGACACGCCGAGGACUCUGUACAAGAUCACCGCGGACUCGCCCGGAUCUGAGGCCGCCGGCGAGGCGGCUGCGGCGCUUGCAGCGGCCUACCUAGUGCUCAAGGAAGACGGUGACAAGGCGUUCGCCUCGCGGCUCCUGGCCGCGUCCAAAUCGCUCUUUGAGUUGGCCAAUAAUUACAGGGGAUCCUUCCAGUCGUCCUGCCCCUUCUACUGCUCCUACUCCGGCUUCCAGGAUGAGCUGCUCUGGGCGUCGGCGUGGCUCUACCGGGCGACCAAGGAUGGCAAGUACCUCGACUUCCUUCGCCAGAACCAGGGCUCCAGCAACCCUGUCAACGAGUUCAGCUGGGACAACAAGCAGGUUGGAGCCCAGAUGCUCGCAACACAGGAGUAUUUGAAAGGAAGGAGAGAGCUAGCAAGGUACAAGGCCAACCUGGACUCCUUCGUCUGCGCCCUCAUGCCUGACAGCGGCAAUACGCAGAUACGUACAACUCGUGGAGGGCUUCUCUUCACGCGCGAUUCGGUGAACAUGCAGUACACCACCACGGCGGCCCUCGUGCUCUCCAUCUACUCCAAGGCGCUCCAGUCCUGGGACGUCUCCGACGGAGUCCACUGCAGCGCCGCAAGCUUCUCCCCGGACCAGAUCGCCUCGUUCGCCGCAUCACAGGUCGACUACAUCCUGGGGAGCAACCCGAUGGGCAUGUCGUACAUGGUGGGCUUCGGCGGCGCGUUCCCGCGGCGCAUCCACCACCGCGCGGCGUCCAUCCCCUCCAUCGAGGUCCUCAGCAGGAGGGUCCCCUGCAACGAGGGCUUCUCCUCGUGGCUGCCGACGAGCGACCCCAACCCGAACGUCCAUGUCGGCGCCAUCGUCGGAGGGCCUGACGAGAACGACCAGUUCGGGGACAACAGGGGGGACUCCGCGCACUCCGAGCCGGCGACCUACAUCAACGCCGCCUUUGUGGGUGCCUGUGCUGCUGCCAUGGGGCAGAGUCAGAAACCUGCGUCGCCGACUUUAUCGUCUUACUAG
rnacentral:rRNA from 1 species